CGCACACAGGGAGCCCCGCCGCAGCGCCGCGUCCCCUGGAUCGCGUUAUCACACCCAUUUUUACAAAAUACACCCCUCACUUCAUAUCUGCUGUGAGAGCACGACCUUCGUCUAGGCUUGUGAGAUUAUGUAAGCCUGGCGAGGAACAGGCCCAGGGUGCUGCUUCCCUGACAGCCUGUCCCUUGAAGACAAAUGGAGCCGAGAGAGCAGAGCCGGCCACAGCCCAGCCUGAGUCCAGCCCAGCUCAUCCACAGAUCCCAGCUAGAAAUAAAGGUUGUAUCAGCACUGG